rnacentral:misc_RNA from 1 species
GAACGCACAUUGCGCCCCGUGGUAUUCCGCGGGGCAUGCCUGUUCGAGCGUCAGUACAACACUCAAGCUCUGCUUGGUAUUGGGCCCUGCCGGCAACGGCUGGCCUUAAAAUCAGUGGCGGCGCCAUCUGGCUCUAAGCGUAGUAAUACUCCUCGCUACAGAGUCCCGGUGGAUGCUUGCCAGCAACCCCCAACUUCUAAGUUUGACCUCGGAUCAGGUAGGGAUACCCGCUGAACUUAAG